CCCGACUGCUAUCGGAGGGAGAGGUACCCAUGCGAGUCGGACGUCCCCCUUCUUCGGGGGGCGUGGCGUACGGCUCAGUAACACGUAGUCAACCUGCUCUGGAGACGUGGACCACCCCGGGAAACUGGGAUUAAUCCAUGAUAGGUCAUCUCAAAAAGAAGGAGAGAUGGCUUAAAGGGCGUGCGAGAGCUUCUUUCUUGUAUCCGCUCCAGGAUGGGACUGCCACCGAUCAGGCUGUUGCCGGGGUAAUGGCCCACCACACCUGUAACCGGUACGCCCCUUGAGAGAGGGGGCCCGGAGAUGGACACUGCGAGAAGGGUCCAGGUCCCACGGGGCGCAGCAUGGCGCGAAACCUUCGCAAUGCACGAAAGCGCGACGCGGAUCAUCACGACUGCUAUCCUCCUGAAGGGGAUCUUAUUGCUCGGACUGUACAAUGUUCCAUUGCACACC
rnacentral:rRNA from 1 species